rnacentral:lncRNA from 1 species
CGUUUUUAGCCAUUGGAUCUACUUUUUGAUUACAAAUAGCCCUUGGAUUAAACACUAUUCCACCUACCACCACCUACCACCACCUACCACCAUCAUCUCAACCUCACAUCUCUCCAUCCAAGGGCUAAAAACACACAAGUAUCACUUGGGUGAUACUUGUAAAAGUAUUCUAGCCCUAUUCUCUCUCUCUCUCUCUCUCUCUCUCUCUCUCUCUAUAUAUAUAUAUAUAUAUAUAUAUAUAUAUAUGAGCUAGGUUUGUGCACUUUCGAAAACACGGUAGACUCCGUACUAUCAAAUCGUUUUUUAUGCUAGAACUUUCGAAUUGACAAUCGAUUCUAUUAGACUUAACUUAGAGUAUUAAAAGUAUCUAGAAUAUAAAUUUUAUAAUUUUUUCGAUAUCAUUUAUCGAGUAAAGGAUAUUCAUUUUCAUAAACUUCGUGCUAUCGAUAGUAUUCCAGUCGAACUCUAUCUAUAUAUAUAUAUAUAUUUCGUAAGCUUACGUGUGC